rnacentral:rRNA from 1 species
ACGGUAGCUAAUACCGCAUAAUGUCGCAAGACCAAAGAGGGGGACCUUCGGGCCUCUUGCCAUCGGAUGUGCCCAGAUGGGAUUAGCUUGUUGGUGGGGUAACGGCUCACCAAGGCGACGAUCCCUAGCUGGUCUGAGAGGAUGACCAGCCACACUGGAACUGAGACACGGUCCAGACUCCUACGGGAGGCAGCAGUGGGGAAUAUUGCACAAUGGGCGCAAGCCUGAUGCAGCCAUGCCGCGUGUAUGAAGAAGGCCUUCGGGUUGUAAAGUACUUUCAGCGGGGAGGAAGGGAGUAAAGUUAAUACCUUUGCUCAUUGACGUUACCCGCAGAAGAAGCACCGGCUAACUCCGUGCCAGCAGCCGCGGUAAUACGGAGGGUGCAAGCGUUAAUCGGAAUUACUGGGCGUAAAGCGCACGCAGGCGGUUUGUUAAGUCAGAUGUGAAAUCCCCGGGCUCAACCUGGGAACUGCAUCUGAUACUGGCAAGCUUGAGUCUCGUAGAGGGGGGUAGAAUUCCAGGUGUAGCGGUGAAAUGCGUAGAGAUCUGGAGGAAUACCGGUGGCGAAGGCGGCCCCCUGGACGAAGACUGACGCUCAGGUGCGAAAGCGUGGGGAGCAAACAGGAUUAGAUACCCUGGUAGUCCACGCCGUAAACGAUGUCGACUUGGAGGUUGUGCCCUUGAGGCGUGGCUUCCGGAGCUAACGCGUUAAGUCGACCGCCUGGGGAGUACGGCCGCAAGGUUAAAACUCAAAUGAAUUGACGGGGGCCCGCACAAGCGGUGGAGCAUGUGGUUUAAUUCGAUGCAACGCGAAGAACCUUACCUGGUCUUGACAUCCACGGAAGUUUUCAGAGAUGAGAAUGUGCCUUCGGGAACCGUGAGACAGGUGCUGCAUGGCUGUCGUCAGCUCGUGUUGUGAAAUGUUGGGUUAAGUCCCGCAACGAGCGCAACCCUUAUCCUUUGUUGCCAGCGGUCCGGCCGGGAACUCAAAGGAGACUGCCAGUGAUAAACUGGAGGAAGGUGGGGACGACGUCAAGUCAUCAUGGCCCUUACGACCAGGGCUACACACGUGCUACAAUGGCGCAUACAAAGAGAAGCGACCUCGCGAGAGCAAGCGGACCUCAUAAAGUGCGUCGUAGUCCGGAUUGGAGUCUGCAACUCGACUCCAUGAAGUCGGAAUCGCUAGUAAUCGUGGAUC